rnacentral:rRNA from 1 species
AUACGUAGGGGACGAGCGUUGUUCGGAAUUACUGGGCGUAAAGGGCGCGCAGGCGGAUAUUUAAGUCAGCUGUAAAAGGCAUGAGCUCAACUCAUGUAUGCGGUUGAAACUGGGUAUCUAGAGUGCUGGAGAGGUAGGCGGAAUUCCCGGUGUAGCGGGGCAAUGCGUAGAUAUCGGGAAGAACACCAGUGGCGAAGGCGGCUUACUGGCCAGCAACUGACGCUGAGGCGCGAAAGCCAGGGGAGCGAACGGGAUUAGAUACCCCGGUAGUCCUGGCCGUAAACGAUGAAUGCUAGGUGUGGGUGUCGAGAGGCAUCCGUGCCGGAGUUAACGCGAUAAGCAUUCCGCCUGGGGAGUACGAUCGCAAGAUUGAAACUCAAAUGAAUUGGCGGGG